rnacentral:rRNA from 1 species
GCGAGCUGAUCCCCUUCGGGGGUGACGCUCGUGGAACGAGCGGCGGACGGGUGAGUAACACGUGGGUAACCUGCCUGUAAGAUCGGAAUAACUCCGGGAAACCGGAGCUAAUGCCGGGUAAUACUUUCUUUCGCAUGAAGGAAAGUUGAAAGAUGGCUUCUUGCUAUCACUUACAGAUGGACCCGCGGCGCAUUAGCUAGUUGGUGAGGUAACGGCUCACCAAGGCGACGAUGCGUAGCCGACCUGAGAGGGUGAUCGGCCACACUGGGACUGAGACACGGCCCAGACUCCUACGGGAGGCAGCAGUAGGGAAUCUUCCGCAAUGGACGAAAGUCUGACGGAGCAACGCCGCGUGAACGAUGAAGGUCUUCGGAUCGUAAAGUUCUGUUGUUAGGGAAGAACAAGUACCGUUCGAAUAGGGCGGUACCUUGACGGUACCUAACGAGGAAGCCCCGGCUAACUACGUGCCAGCAGCCGCGGUAAUAC